rnacentral:rRNA from 1 species
AUUGAACGCUGGCGGCAGGCUUAACACAUGCAAGUCGAGCGGAGAUGAGGUGCUUGCACCUUAUCUUAGCGGCGGACGGGUGAGUAAUGCUUAGGAAUCUGCCUAUUAGUGGGGGACAACAUUCCGAAAGUAAUGCUAAUACCGCAUACGCCCUACGGGGGAAAGCAGGGGAUCUUCGGACCUUGCGCUAAUAGAUGAGCCUAAGUCGGAUUAGCUAGUUGGGGGGGUAAAGGCCUACAAAGGCGACGAUCUGUAGCUGGUCGGAGAGGAUGAUCCGCCACACUGGGACUGAGACACGGCCCAGACUCCUACGGGAGGCAGCAGUGGGGAAUAUUGGACAAUGGGCGGAAGCCUGAUCCAGCCAUGCCGCGUGUGUGAAGAAGGCCUUUUGGUUGUAAAGCACUUUAAGCGAGGAGGAGGCUACCUGGAUUAAUACUCUAGGAUAGUGGACGUUACUCGCAGAAUAAGCACCGGCUAACUCUGUGCCAGCAGCCGCCGUAAUAC